GCUGCGGCCAGUAUAUUUUGAUAUCAAUAGCUUAGCUAACGACUACGAUCGUUAUUAUAACGAAAGAAUAGAAAUACUCUGUGUCUAACAGAUAAACGAGGAUGAUUUACUGUAUCACUUACAAUUUGUUAAAUAGUACAAUUGUACGAAUAUGUUUUAGAACCAGACAAUCAACCCGCCAGGCUCUUAUAAGUCUCAGUGCCCUCACUGCCCUAAACAGAAUACUCGGCAAAUAUAUUCAACUGUUUUGAAAACAUUACCAGACAACACGGAG